rnacentral:rRNA from 1 species
CGGCGGACGGGUGAGUAACGCGUGGGUAACCUACCCCGUACACACGGAUAACAUACCGAAAGGUAUGCUAAUACGGGAUAAUAUAUUUGAGAGGCAUCUCUUGAAUAUCAAAGGUGAGCCAGUACAGGAUGGACCCGCGUCUGAUUAGCUAGUUGGUAAGGUAACGGCUUACCAAGGCGACGAUCAGUAGCCGACCUGAGAGGGUGAUCGGCCACAUUGGAACUGAGACACGGUCCAA